UACGUAGGGGGCUAGCGUUGUCCGGAUUUAUUGGGCGUAAAGAGCGUGUAGGCGGCCAGGUAGGUCUGCUGUGAAAACUCGAGGCUUAACCUCGAGAUGUCGGCGGAAACCAUCUGGCUAGAGUCCGGAAGAGGAGAGUGGAAUUCCGGGUGUAGUGGUGAAAUGCGUAGAGAUCCGGAGGAACACCAGUGGCGAAGGCGGCUGGCUGGACCUGACCUGACGCUGAGGCGCGAAGGCGUGGGGAGCGAACGGG
rnacentral:rRNA from 1 species